rnacentral:rRNA from 1 species
ACGGCGGGUGCGAGCGUUAUUCGGAAUUACUGGGCGUAAAGCGCGUGUAGGCGGGGAUGCAAGUCUGAUGUGAAAGCCCUGGGCUUAAACUGGGAAGUGCAUUGGAAACUGCAUUUCUUGAGUACUGGAGAGGAAGGGGGAAUUCCCGGUGUAGAGGUGAAAUUCGGAGAGAUCGGGAGGAAUACCAGGGGCGUAGGCUCCCUUCUGGACGGUUACUGACGCUGAGACUCGAGAGCGUGGGGAGCAAAGAG